UUGACUGUACAAAGGUAGCAUAAUCAUUAGUUUUUUAAUUAAAAGCUUGUAUGAAUGGCUUAAUGAGAAAGAUUCUGUCUUUAUUUAAAUUUUUAUAGAAAUUUAUUUUUAAGUUAAAAAGCUUAAAUUUGUUUAAAAGACGAGAAGACCCUAUAGAGUUUUAUAAGCUAAUUAAUAGUUAAUAUUUAAGUAUAUAAUUUUAUUUGAUUAAUAAGUUUAUUUGGUUGGGGUGAUUUAAAAAUUUAAUAAACUUUUUAUUUUUUGAACAUAAAUAUAUGAGUAACUGAUCCAUUUAGAUGUGAUUAAAAGAUUAAAUUACCUUAGGGAUAACAGCGUAAUUUUUUUGGAGAGUUCUUAUCAAUAAAAAAGGUUGCGACCUCGAUGUUGGAUUAAAAUUUACUAUUGGCGCAGAAGUUGAUGGGUUAGGUCUGUUCGACCUUUAAAAUUUUACAUGAUCUGAGUUUAAACCGGUGUGAGCCAGGUUGGUUUCUAUCUUUAAAAUGUUUAAGGUAUUUUAGUACGAAAGGACCAAAUAUUAAUAAUAAUUAUUUUUAUAUUGAAUUAUAAUAAUAUUGGUUACUUUGGCAGAUUAGUGCAUUAAAUUUAGAAUUUAAUUAUGUAUAGUUAUACAGGUAAUACUUGUUAUUGAUCGAUUAUUUUUUAAUAUUAGUAAGUAGAUUAAU
rnacentral:rRNA from 1 species